rnacentral:rRNA from 1 species
CCUACGGGAGGCAGCAGUGGGGAAUUUUGGACAAUGGGCGAAAGCCUGAUCCAGCAAUGCCGCGUGUGUGAAGAAGGCCUUCGGGUUGUAAAGCACUUUUGUCCGGAAAGAAAUCCUUGGCCCUAAUACGGUCGGGGGAUGACGGUACCGGAAGAAUAAGCACCGGCUAACUACGUGCCAGCAGCCGCGGUAAUACGUAGGGUGCGAGCAUUAAUCGGAAUUACUGGGCGUAAAGCGUGCGCAGGCGGUUUGUUAAGACCGAUGUGAAAUCCCCGGGCUCAACCUGGGAACUGCAUUGGUGACUGGCAAGCUAGAGUAUGGCAGAGGGGGGUAGAAUUGGACGUGUAGCAGUGAAAUGCGUAGAGAUGUGGAGGAAUACCGAUGGCGAAGGCAGCCCCCUGGGCCAAUACUGACGCUCAUGCACGAAAGCGUGGGGAGCAAACAGGAUUAGAUACCCUGGUAGUCCACGCCCUAAACGAUGUCAACUAGUUGUUGGGGAUUCUUUUCCUUAGUAACGUAGCUAACGCGUGAAGUUGACCGCCUGGGGAGUACGGUCGCAAGAUUAAAACUCAAAGGAAUUGACGGGGACCCCCACAAGCGGUGGAUGAUGUGGAUUAAUUCGA